rnacentral:sRNA from 1 species
UACGCUAGCAGCAUUGCCACGCUGUAUGGCAA